rnacentral:rRNA from 1 species
UACAGAGGGGCAAGCGUUAUUCGGAAUUAUUGGGCGUAAAGGGCGCGUAGGCGGCCUGGCAAGUGGAAGGUGAAAUCCCUCGGCUUAACCGAGGAACUGCCCUCCAAACUGCUUGGCUUGAGUCCGGGAGAGGUGAGUGGGAAUUCCCAGUGUAGCGGUGAAAUGCGUAGAGUAUUGGGAGGAACACCAGUGGCGAAGGCGGCUCACUGGACCGGAACUGACGCUGAGGCGCGAAAGCGUGGGAGCAACAGG